ACAGUGCUGCAUGGCUGUCGUCAGCUCGUGUCGUGAGAUGUGGGUUAAGUCCCGCAACGAGCGCAACCCUUGUCAUUAGUUGCUACAUCCAGUUGGGCACUCUAAUGAGACUGCCGGUGACAAACCGGAGGAAGGUGGGGAUGACGUCAAGUCCUCAUGGCCCUUAUAGGUGGGGCUACACACGUCAUACAAUGGAUGGUACAAAGGGUCGCCAACCCGCGAGGGGGAGCCAAUCCCAUAAAGCCAUUCGUAGUCCGGAUCGCAGUCUGCAACUCGACUGCGUGAAGUCGGAAUCGCUAGUAACCGCAGAUCAGCAUGCUGCGGUCGAAUACGUUCCCGGGCCUUGU
rnacentral:rRNA from 1 species